GGCUUGUUGAUUUUGAUUUCAAGUCUGGCCUGCCCAAUGAUAUUUGUUUUAAUGGCCGCAGUAUAUUAACUGUGCAAAGGUAGCAUAAUCAUUAGUUUUUUAAUUGGAAGCUUGUAUGAAGGGUUUGAUGAAAAAAUUUCUGUCUCUAGAGAAAUUUAUUAGAAUUUUAUUUUUAAGUGAAAAAGCUUAAAUUUUUAUAGAAGACGAGAAGACCCUAUAGAGUUUUAUAUUUAUAUAAAUUAAUAGAAUUAUAUUAAGUAUUUAGUUGGGGUGAUAGAAAAAUUGGACUAACUUUUUUUUUUGUGUACAUUAAUUUAUGAUUAUUUGAUCCUAGAUUUAGAUUAUAAGAAGAAACUACCUUAGGGAUAACAGCGUAAUUUUUUUUAGAGUUCUUAUCGAAAAGAAAGAUUGCGACCUCGAUGUUGGAUUAAAAUUAAUUGUUGGUGAAGAAGUUUACAAAUUAGGUCUGUUCGACCUUUAAAAUUUUACAUGAUCUGAGUUUAAACCGGUGUGAG
rnacentral:rRNA from 1 species